CCUACGGGUGACAGCAGUGAGGAAUAUUGGUCAAUGGACGCAAGUCUGAACCAGCCAUGCCGCGUGCAGGAAGACGGCUCUAUGAGUUGUAAACUGCUUUUGUACGAGGGUAAACGCAGAUACGCGUAUCUGUCUGAAAGUAUCGUACGAAUAAGGAUCGGCUAACUCCGUGCCAGCAGCCGCGGUAAUACGGAGGAUUCAAGCGUUAUCCGGAUUUAUUGGGUGUAAAGGGUGCGUAGGGGGUCGGAUAAGUUAGAGGUGAAAUCGCGGGGCUCAACUUCGGACUUGCCUCUGAUAAUGUCGGGAUAGAGAGUAGGUGAGGUAGGCGGAAUGUAUGGGGUAGCGGUGAAAUG
rnacentral:rRNA from 1 species